GAUGAACGCUGGCGGCGUGCCUAAUACAUGCAAGUCGAGCGAACAGAUAAGGAGCUUGCUCCUUUGAAGUUAGCGGCGGACGGGUGAGUAACACGUGGGUAACCUACCUAUAAGACUGGGAUAACUUCGGGAAACCGGAGCUAAUACCGGAUAACAUUUAGAACCGCAUGGUUCUAAAGUGAAAGAUGGUUUUGCUAUCACUUAUAGAUGGACCCGCGCCGUAUUAGCUAGUUGGUAAGGUAACGGCUUACCAAGGCGACGAUACGUAGCCGACCUGAGAGGGUGAUCGGCCACACUGGAACUGAGACACGGUCCAGACUCCUACGGGAGGCAGCAGUAGGGAAUCUUCCGCAAUGGGCGAAAGCCUGACGGAGCAACGCCGCGUGAGUGAUGAAGGGUUUCGGCUCGUAAAACUCUGUUAUUAGGGAAGAACAAAUGUGUAAGUAACUGUGCACAUCUUGACGGUACCUAAUCAGAAAGCCACGGCUAACUACGUGCCAGCAGCCGCGGUAAUACGUAGGUGGCAAGCGUUAUCCGGAAUUAUUGGGCGUAAAGCGCGCGUAGGCGGUUUCUUAAGUCUGAUGUGAAAGCCCACGGCUCAACCGUGGAGGGUCAUUGGAAACUGGGAAACUUGAGUGCAGAAGAGGAGAGUGGAAUUCCAUGUGUAGCGGUGGAAUGCGUAGAUAUAUGGAGGAACACCAGUGGCGAAGGCGGCUCUCUGGUCUGUAACUGACGCUGAGGCUCGAAAGCGUGGGGAGCAAACAGGAUUAGAUACCCUGGUAGUCCACGCCGUAAACGAUGAGUGCUAAGUGUUGGAGGGUUUCCGCCCUUCAGUGCUGCAGCAAACGCAUUAAGCACUCCGCCUGGGGAGUACGACCGCAAGGUUGAAACUCAAAGGAAUUGACGGGGGCCCGCACAAGCGGUGGAGCAUGUGGUUUAAUUCGAAGCAACGCGAAGAACCUUACCAGGUCUUGACAUCCUUUGACCACUCUAGAGAUAGAGCUUUCCCUUCGGGGACAAAGUGACAGGUGGUGCAUGGUUGUCGUCAGCUCGUGUCGUGAGAUGUUGGGUUAAGUCCCGCAACGAGCGCAACCCUUAUUGUUAGUUGCCAUCAUUUAGUUGGGCACUCUAGCGAGACUGCCGGUGACAAACCGGAGGAAGGUGGGGAUGACGUCAAAUCAUCAUGCCCCUUAUGACCUGGGCUACACACGUGCUACAAUGGGAAGUACAACGAGUCGCUAGACCGCGAGGUCAUGCAAAUCUCUUAAAGCUUCUCUCAGUUCGGAUUGCAGGCUGCAACUCGCCUGCAUGAAGCCGGAAUCGCUAGUAAUCGCGGAUCAGCACGCCGCGGUGAAUACGUUCCCGGGCCU
rnacentral:rRNA from 1 species